ACGGGCGUAGCUCAGCCAGGCCAGAGCACUGGACUCCAAAUCCAGGUGUCGGGGGUUCGAAUCCUCCCGUCCGUGCCA
rnacentral:tRNA from 1 species